rfam:Nicotiana sylvestris Nsyl_contig171589, whole genome shotgun sequence.
AUACCUUUCUCGGCCUUUUGGCUAAGAUCAAGUGUAGUAUCUGUUCUUAUCAGUUUAAUAUCUGAUAUGUGGACUAUCGAUUCACAUGAUAUUAACUUAAUUUUUUAAGGGGAAGAGUCUGUUAAAGUAGCUUGCUACUUGGGCUCUUGCGCGUUGCCCAUGCGUUGCACUACUGUACGGGCCUGGCGUGCCCCAC